AAGCUACUCCCUCCGUUCGGAAUUACUUGUCGCAGAAAUGGAUGUAUCUAGACAUAUUUUAGUUCUAGAUACAUCCAUUUCCGAGACAAGUAAUUCCGAACGGAGGGAGUAGAUG
rnacentral:pre_miRNA from 1 species